rnacentral:tRNA from 1 species
AGGGGAGGUUCAACCAACGAGAACUGCUAACUCUCACAUCUGAGGAUAAAACCCCAGUCCCCUU